rnacentral:rRNA from 1 species
UACAGAGGUCCCAAGCGUUGUUCGGAUUCAUUGGGCGUAAAGGGUGCGUAGGUGGCGUGGUAAGUCGGGUGUGAAAUCCCGGGGCUCAACCCCGGGACUGCAUUCGAUACUGCCGUGCUUGAGGACUGGAGAGGAGACUGGAAUUUACGGUGUAGCAGUGAAAUGCGUAGAGAUCGUAAGGAAGACCAGUGGCGAAGGCGGGUCUCUGGACAGUUCCUGACGCUGAGGCACGAAGGCCAGGGGAGCAAACGGG